rnacentral:rRNA from 1 species
GGGAUAACGUGAUCGAAAGCUUUGCUAAUACCGCAUACGAUCUACGGAUGAAAGCAGGGGACCGCAAGGCCUUGCGCGGACGGAGCGGCCGAUGGCAGAUUAGGUAGUUGGUGGGAUAAAAGCUUACCAAGCCGACGAUCUGUAGCUGGUCUGAGAGGACGACCAGCCACACUGGGACUGAGACACGGCCCAGACUCCUACGGGAGGCAGCAGUGGGGAAUUUUGGACAAUGGGCGAAAGCCUGAUCCAGCCAUGCCGCGUGCAGGAUGAAGGCCUUCGGGUUGUAAACUGCUUUUGUACGGAACGAAAAGACUCCUUCUAAUAAAGGGGGUCCAUGACGGUACCGUAAGAAUAAGCACCGGCUAACUACGUGCCAGCAGCCGCGGUAAUACGUAGGGUGCAAGCGUUAAUCGGAAUUACUGGGCGUAAAGCGUGCGCAGGCGGUUAUAUAAGACAGAUGUGAAAUCCCCGGGCUCAACCUGGGAACUGCAUUUGUGACUGUAUAGCUAGAGUACGGCAGAGG